UUGGGUUAGUCCCGCACCGAGCGCAACCCUCGUUUCUAGUUGCCAUCAUUCAGUUGGGCACUCUGGAGAGACUGCCGGUGACAAACCGGAGGAAGGUGGGGAUGACGUCAAGUCAGCAUGCCCCUUACGUCCUGGGCUACACACGUACUACAAUGCUGUGGACAGAGAGUCGCAAGUCGGCGACGACAAGCCAAUCUCGUAAACCAUGGCUCAGUUCAGAUUGCAGGCUGCAACUCGCCUGCAUGAAGGAGGAAUCGCUAGUAAUCGCAGGUCAGCAUACUGCGGUGAAUACGUUCCCGGGCCUUGUACACACCGCCCGUCACACCAUGGAAGUUGGCCACGCCCGAAGUCAUUACUCCAACCGCAAGGAGGGGGAUGCCGAAGGCAGGGCUGAUGACUGGGGUGAAGUCGUAACAAGGUAACCA
rnacentral:rRNA from 1 species